AUGCGCCCUGGUGCGCCCUGGUGCGCCCCGGUUCUCCCCCCCCGGUGCUCGCGAAGUGGUGGCACGGGAAGGCGAAAAGGCAGCCGGCAGCGAGGGGACAAACUCCAGGGAGGCUCCUCGGCCAUGGGAAAACCUGUAGAUUUGGAGGAGCCUUACAGCUGUCUCAUGGAGUUCUCACAGCAGCCCCUCAAGAUGUUUUCAGCAAGUGCGUGCCUGGCAGGAGCCGAGAAAGCCCUCAAUGUGACGCAGAGUAAUUUAAGUUUCUGUGCUGUCACUAAGGACCUAACCUGUGACACAGUGCCAACAAGGUUGCUGAAGAGUGAAGAUCCCCAGAGAGCAUCACCUCCUGCAGGCUCCUGCCAGAAGCUCACAAAAUGCCAUCCCUACCUGCACUUGCUGGGCGGACUGUCCGCAGCAGAUCCUUAUCCUGUGAGCACCUAAAUGCCAUUCCUCUGUGAUCAGAAGCUCAACAACUCUGCUUCCCUCUGAAUUUUGGAGCUGAGAGCAAGCACCACAUACUG
rnacentral:lncRNA from 1 species